rnacentral:rRNA from 1 species
UACGUAGGGUGCAAGCGUUGUCCGGAAUUAUUGGGCGUAAAGAGCUUGUAGGCGGUUUGUCGCGUCUGCUGUGAAAUUUCGGGGCUCAACCCCGAACUUGCAGUGGGUACGGGCAGACUAGAGUGUGGUAGGGGAGAGUGGAAUUCCUGGUGUAGCGGUGAAAUGCGUAGAUAUCAGGAGGAAUACCGGUGGCGAAAGCGACUCUCUGGACGGCAACUGACGCUGAGGCACGAAAGCGUGGGGAGCAAACAGG